UACGGAGGAUGCGAGCGUUAUCCGGAUUUAUUGGGUUUAAAGGGUGCGUAGGCGGGUUAUCAAGUCAGCGGUAAAAUCGUGGAGCUCAACUCCAUCCAGCCGUUGAAACUGAUGAUCUUGAGUGUGCGAGAGGUAUGCGGAAUGCGUGGUGUAGCGGUGAAAUGCAUAGAUAUCACGCAGAACCCCGAUUGCGAAGGCAGCAUACCGGUGCACAACUGACGCUCAGGCACGAAAGCGUGGGUAUCGAACAGG
rnacentral:rRNA from 1 species